CGGGCUUGACAUGUACCUGAAAGCCCUAGAAAUAGGGUCCCUCUUCGGAGCGGGUACACAGGUGCUGCAUGGCUGUCGUCAGCUCGUGUCGUGAGAUGUUGGGUUCAGUCCCGCAACGAGCGCAACCCCUGUCCUUAGUUGCCAGCACGUCAAGGUGGGAACUCUAAGGAGACUGCCUGUGUUAAGCAGGAGGAAGGUGGGGAUGACGUCAAGUCCUCAUGGCCCUUACGUCCGGGGCUGCACACGUGCUACAAUGGCCGGUACAAAGGGCUGCGAUACCGUGAGGUGGAGCUAAUCCCAAAAAACCGGUCUCAGUUCGGAUUGCAGUCUGCAACUCGACUGCAUGAAGG
rnacentral:rRNA from 1 species